AUACGUAGGGGGCGAGCGUUGUCCGGAAUUAUUGGGCGUAAAGGGUUCGCAGGCGGUCUGAUAAGUCAGAUGUGAAAGGCAAUGGCUCAACCAUUGUAAGCAUUUGAAACUGUCAGACUUGAGUUAAGGAGAGGAAAGUGGAAUUCCUAGGGUAGCGGGGAAAUGCGUAGAGAUUGGGAGGAACACCAGUGGCGAAGGCGACUUACUGGGCCGUAACUGACGCUGAGGCGCGAAAGCGUGGGGAGCGAACAGGAUUAGAUUCCCUGGUAGUCCACGCGGUAAACGAUGAAUGCUAGGUGUUGCGGGUAUCGACCCCUGCAGUGCCGGAGUAAACACAAUAAGCAUUCCGCCUGGGGAGUACGGCCGCAAGGUUGAAACUCAAAUGAAUUGACGGGG
rnacentral:rRNA from 1 species